GAUCACUGUUUAAAAACAACACUUUCACAUUAAGAACUAAAGGGAAAGCACUGAAGUGUUACAAAUCAAAUUUCAAAUUUCCAUAAUUAUACAUAUAAUUUAAUGUUUUGGAGUCUGUUCAAAUUAUUCAUUAAAAUGAGUAACAGGAACAAAACAACGAAGCAGCAGCUGUUUCAUCUGUACAUCUGAUUUGUAGCAUGUAGU
rnacentral:lncRNA from 1 species